GACAGAGGGGGCAAGCGUUGCUCGGAAUCACUGGGCGUAAAGGGCGCGUAGGCGGGACGGUAAGUCGGUCGUGAAAUGCCCGGGCUCAACCCGGGAGGGUCGGCCGAGACUGUCGUUCUUGAGGGAGGCAGAGGAGUCUGGAAUUCCCGGUGUAGCGGUGAAAUGUGUAGAGAUCGGGAGGAACACCGGUGGCGAAGGCGGGGCUCUGGGCCUUCACUGACGCUGAGGCGCGAAAGCGUGGGGAG
rnacentral:rRNA from 1 species